UACGUAGGGUGCAAGCGUUGUCCGGAAUUACUGGGCGUAAAGAGCUCGUAGGUGGUUUGUCGCGUUGUUCGUGAAAACUCACAGCUCAACUGUGGGCGUGCGGGCGAUACGGGCAGACUGGAGUACUGCAGGGGAGACUGGAAUUCCUGGUGUAGCGGUGAAAUGCGCAGAUAUCAAGGAGGGAACACCCGGUGGCGAAGGCGGGUCUCUGGGCCGAUACUGACGCUGGAGGAGCGAAAG
rnacentral:rRNA from 1 species